GGAAAGAUUAAAUGUUAUAGCAAACACUCCCAAAUCUCAGUGGCUUAACAUGUAAUUCUCUUAUGUACAAUUCAGUGUAAGUCACCCAGCUGGGACUGAGGUUGCCUGGUGACCUAUCCAGGACCAAGAAUUGUCCGUAUGUUACCUUCCCAUUUGCUACACUGUGGAGAUAUCUAAUGGAUCCUCUGAUUUCAACAGAUGAUCUCUCUGGAAGUCAAGUCGGGAGCCCUGACAACUUUCAGGACACUGUCGCCCAGGCUGGCCUGAGAUUCUGGACCUUUCUCUGCCUGUUCUUCUGUUAUAUCCAGGUGUCUACAGAAGGGGCCACCCUUGUGGAGCCUUUGCCCCAAGCCCCGGACCCCAGCUUCGUCCCUAAAACAGGGUCCCUCAGAGUCCCCAGGAACAGUUAGAACUCUGCAUUUUCUGAGCAAUCUCAGGUGUAUCUGUGCUGACACUAUAUUUUCACAAGGCAGAAAGUUUAGGGACUAAAACUGGGAGACAAGCUAACAGCUAGUGCUGACUUGGUGCAUUGACUUUAACCAACUCAAGUGCUGGUGCUUAGUCCUUUGUUCUCCAACAGAACAACCCUUCCCAGGGAACAGGAAGGCCACUGUCUCACAUCUGAGCUGUGGUUGCCUCCUUGUUCUGAAGUGUAGUCGCUGAGAGAGAACCAUCUUUCUCGGGACAAAGAUGAUCCUCUAGGAGGCCUGGCCCCUUGACAGAGCAAGCUCCAGUGAGGACUCAAAAUGGCUUCCACUGUCUGUUUGCCCAAGGCCUCCUGAGAACUGAGGGCCUGGCGUGAGAACUGAGGGCCUGGCGUGAGCACUGCGGGGAGCUGCAAAGCAGGUGAUUCAUGGAUUCCCCAGCCUCUGUGUCCAGCACCAGGUUCCUGUAAGCUGAUGACAGUUACAGGGUUUCCUUAGCAGCAAACCAACACUGCCCAUCCAAGUCCUGUCCUCCACUCCUCCCUAAGAGGCAAGCCGUGGCCUCUGGGCCUCGUAGGUGAAUGACUCACACCAACUGUGAAGCUCCUGACCUAGAGAAGGAAGCAGGAAGUGGCUUAGAGAUAUAAAGAGCACAGCCUGUGGGGGUCACGGUAGAAUCACCUCAGAGGAGCCCAUGUGCUCUGUACCAUGAUGCCCUCAGGUCUCACGGUGGACCAUCUCAGGGUUUCUCCCUGGAGUAGGGGACAGGAGGGAGUAGAGGGGUGGCUGCUGCUGUUGUAGACAGGCAAGUCAGGCGGAAGAUCGCAGGCAGCUCGACAGGCAGGAGGCCCAAGGUGGAGUCAGGAUGACCAGGCCUUGGUCAGAUAAGCAGAAGCCUGAGCUCAGGAGUUAACAGGCACAAGGUGGACAGUUAAGUCCAGGGGGGUAAGGAGCAAGGUGCCUGAUGCCCACAUAAGGACUUGUGAGCUUGCCUAUGUGGAAAGUGCUUUUUUUCCUUUUCACUUUGUUCUUUCAGUGAACCACUUGGGCAGGAUGGGCAAGAGGCACUAUAGACGCCUGCUUGCUACAUUUCUGAGUUCUUACAGGCUCGUUUCUAGUCCUUUGUAGGCUGACCUUAGCUUCACCCAGAGUGGUGUGGACCCUGGUUGUUUUUUGCUAUAAGAUCUCCUAGACAGAAGUCCCCAGGGUGACUCACUUUCAGGUCCCUCCUGCCCAUUGCAAUUAAUUCCCUCUUCUUAACCCUUCAAUGUCUAGUGUCCUAAUUUUGGACUGCCCAUAACAGUGGAACAUAAUGUUUUCUCUUCAAAGUUUUGUUCCUUGACUUUCUAGCUGACAUAUAUGAAUUUCAUUCAAAAAUUCAAAACAUUGCAAAGUUGGGCAUAAGUGGGCUGAUAAACAUUGUCUUGUCUACUUCCUCUGUCCUUGAAUUAAUUCUCUGACUUCUGGAGACACAAACCCAGGUUACACUGUUACACCAUAGAGUCAGUGGCCUCUCUCUAAAGGGAACCCCUCAUUGGGCCAGCGUGUGACUCUGUACCCCAUCUUUGUAAAACUGACCCCAGACCCCUUCUGGGUGUUCCAGGAAAGUUCGAAGCUAUCAUACCUGGGUCCAGAGAGGGUCCCUUGGGGAGCCCACCCCUGCGCUCAGCAUGGCCCUGUGGGGUUCUGGCUGCAGGAAGGGGGUGCUCCUGAGAAAAGGACCGACCCCCCUACCAGGGGAGGCCUCCCUGGGGCUUCCCGUUCUCCAUCCUGGCUCUCCUGCAGGUCCUCUCAGAGCCCCUGACCCCUGUUCCAGAGCCCAGCCCCAUAUCUUCCUGAGGAGGCAAGGAAUGUCUGCUUGGGUUUCACGUGUUCCCACAAUACCAUGGGCCCAGGUAGCCUGUGUUGAGUCCUGAAGACGCCCAGCUGUGGCACAGUACAGGAGGAGCCUGCUCAGAGGACCUAAACCUCUAAGGGGAACCCUGGACUAGAAGCACCACCUUCCCCCAGGCGGCCAGCACAGUAAAGUGAAAAUAAUUUGCUUCCCUUUAACUUUUUGUGACCUCUGACAAUGAAUCUGAAGAAGAGGAACCCGCUUACAUAGGAGACAUCUCCUGUGGCUCAACCGGCCAGCGGCCUCUCCAGCUCCAUCAGUGGCGGAUUUGAAGAAUACCAGCCUCGGAGCACCAGGCUGCCUCCGCCCACUUUUACACAGGCGUGGUGCCAUUACCAGUAAGCGCUUCUUCAGUCUUUUCUUCUUCUUUUGCAGGGUGGGGGUAACAGAGGAUUGAACCCAACUAUUUUUGUUGGUGUGAGACAGGGUCUUGCUCUGUAGUUUAGGCUGAACUCACUACACAGCCCAGGCUAGCCUCGAACUCACAGUGACCCGCUUGCCUUAGCCUUUCAAGUACUCGGAUUAGAGGCAUGCACAAUAAUGCCCACCUCAUAUUUUUAAUGUUGAACAGGGUCUUAAUAAGACCCCAGGCAGGGCUCAAACUUGGAAUCUUCCUGCUUCAUCUUCCCAAGUCCUUCACUUCUUUUUUCAACAAGCGAAGGGACCCACUACGUUAGGAGGUUGUGCUCCUGGAGUCUUCUAGCACCAGGGCAGUGAAGGCCACCUCCUUCCCCUUUGUGAAGGAGCAGGUUUGGAAUCCACUGGGGUCUCCACAAAGAACAUGCUGACCCUAUGGAAACAUGAAUGGCCGAGGAAGGUGGGUUGUGAAGAUGCUGGGGAAGGGACCAGAUGGACCGGUCUCUGCUUACGCAUCUUCUCCAGCCCCCUGUAAGCCCUCAGGGGAGUAUCAUGGCUUGGCUGGGGAAGUGGCUUACUCACUCCCCGACCAUCCUACCAACCAGCCAACCAGCCAGUCAACCAACCAGCCAACCAGCCAGUCAACCAACCAGCCAACCAGCCAAUCAACCAACCGGCCAACCAGCCAAUCAACCAACCAGCCAACCAGCCAAUCAGCCAACCAGCCAAUCAACCAACCAGCCAAUCAGCCAACCAGCCAACCAGCCAAUCAACCAACCAGCCAAUCAGCCAACCAGCCAACCAGCCAAUCAACCAACCAGCCAAUCAGCCAACCAGCCAAUCAGCCAACCAGCCAAUCAACCAACCAGCCAAUCAGCCAACCAGCCAACCAGCCAAUCAACCAACCAGCCAAUCAGCCAACCAGCCAAUCAGCCAACCAGCCAAUCAACCAACCAGCCAAUCAGCCAACCAGCCAACCAGCCAAUCAACCAACCAGCCAAUCAGCCAACCAGCCAACCAGCCAACCAGCCAAUCAACCAACCAGCCAAUCAGCCAACCAGCCAACCAGCCAACCAGCCAACUAACUAACCAAAACUAACUAGACAACCAAUCUGUCAAACAACUGACCAAGCAGCUUGCUUCCAGCCUCCCCUUCAGAAGGAGAAAUAGUCUGGGUGUCCUCACCUUGAGGUGACUGAACAUGGCAGAGUCCAGACAACAGAGGGAUGGGGUGCAGGGGUGGGGCUUUGUCUGGAGGCUGGAGGUGAGGCUUCAUCUCUCCCCCCAGAUGGCUGGAGCCCUGAUUGGAUGAGUUUUGUUGCUGUCCUUGUGGUUCUCGGGAUUGAACCCUGGGCCUUCAUAUGGAGGGAGCUUCAUCCUAGCCCUCUGUUAUUGGAUGACAAUGUCUUGCUAAGUUACUAAGUUGGCCAGGUGAGUUCAAACUUUUGACCCUCCUGCCUCGGCCUCCUUGAGUACUGGGAUUACAGGUGUGCGCCACAGUACAUGGCUGGGACAAGUUUAGAGAGGCGGGUUUUCAAGAUGUCUGGAUUCCGGGUCCUGCCUUUGUCUUGUAUGAUGCUAAAGUGGUUUCUUUCUUCAAAAUCUGGUCUCAAGAUGUUCCAUCUACCAGCUAAAGGCUGAUGAGCUCAGGCUGACUUCCCGGGGUUACUAGGGAGUUUCACACACUGGAAGGCAAAGCAGGGUCCCUGCCCUCACGAAGCUGAGAGUUUUGUUUUCAGAUGUGACAAUCCUUACACAAAGACAGUUGACCAGGAGCCACAGGCUUUGAAGGAAAAGGAGUGCAGUAACAGUGUAAAACAGGGAUCCAGAAGGCCAUGGGAGGAGGGGGCAGGCUGGGUUCUGAGGGUGACUUGUAGGCAAUGGGACAGGAAGUCGAAAGGGAAAAUUCUCCAAUGCACAGAAAACGCGUGCUUCAGAAACAUUUUCUGUCCAAGGAUAAGACUGACGACUUAGAUAGCAGCUGUGGUCCCCAUAUACACAGUGUGGUGAGACCACUGUUGGCCCCAACACUCUGCCUUUUCUUACAAGUCCCCAGGAUUGGCUGAGCAAGUGUUUACCCAGAGAAAAGAUUAUAGAGUUACCUUACUAAGCUUUGGUCAUGAGGUGUGGGAAGAACAAUGUGUGAGGUCUUGGGAAGUCACUUCUCUGCUACCUGGCGUCUGGGUGUGAUAGCUGGAGGCUGAGCAGCCAUCAGAGACCAUGUGGAUGUCUUCUAAGUCUGAAGGAGCAGCCUGUUUCCAUCAUGACCACGGGUCUGCCAUACACAGGCUUCUUUUAUGCAAGAUUCUGGCCCUGAGGUCCAGCAGGGCAGACCUUGCCCCAUUCUUGCCCCUUCCCACUGUUCCUAUGGAGGUGUGAGGGUUAGACCAUUCAGGUGCAGUGGAGUCCAUACUAACUAGGAGAAGCCCUGAGCAUGAGUUUGGGGAUGACUGAGGCCCCUCACUGGGUUUUCAGUUGAUGAGUCUGUGUCCCCAUAUCCUGGCCAGUGACAUCCCUAAGGCAAGACUCAGGGGAGAAGGUCAGCAGGUCUCUUUGCAAACCUCUGGGUGGACCGGGGUAAAUGCAGACCUUCAUGUGCUGGGCUGGCUGCACAGGACACAGGCCAGGAAGGGCUGAAUUCUCUCCCUCCUCCACCCUCCUGCUCUUGAAUCCAUGGGCCGAUGCACUUUGAAGUUGAUGAGCUGCAAGCGUGCUCACCACAUGGAAUCCCGCCCUGUUGGAUGCCAGAGCUCCUGACAGACGGGUGUGCGGAGCAGAAGUCUGUCCCAAGCCGCAGCCUCCUGGACCUAGACUCACAGUGGCCGGGCCGGGCAUCGUCCUGACUCAUCCUCCCUGGGAGACCCCAGCAUCUCUCUCCAGCCGCAGG